CCCAGACAUUAGAAUUUUAAAACCUAUUUUUUAAUCCCCGCCCAAACUAAAUUAUAGUACUACUAUUAUUUUUUAAUUUUUAAAACCUUUUUGUUAACCCUAAGUCAGAUCGCCUCUGCCUGCACACUUCGCCCACUUCACCCUGCAGAUCGCUCCGUCAAAGCGCCGCUCGUUGUUCUUCACAGUGAUGCUCAUAUCCUCUUCCUUCUCACAGCACCGGCCGGUCACAUACUCCCCACAUCGCUGAGUUUCUCCAUCUUCAAUCAGAGUUACAGAUUUUGGGAAAACAACAGCGGUAAAUUGGUUAUAGCACUCAACAAGAAUUUAGGUGUGUCUAAUUAGAGGUUCUUAAUGAUUUGGAGAUGCAGAUCUUAUAAUCGUUAACUCUCUAUUUUAAUUGAUGAAUCGCUGAUUUUGCCGUAGGGGUGAAUUAAAGAUUUGUAGUUGUAGUUUAUAAGGUGCAUGAGAAAUUCGAAAGAUCUCCUUGAUUACUAAGUUACUGCUAAGUUGUUAGGAUUUGAACUCUGAACUCCCUCUUGUGUUUCUUCUAUACAUUAGGUUAUUUCAUAACACCAUUUUUGGAAUAUAAAGCAACUUUACUUUGCAUUGUUGUUUUUCAGGACAUUUAAUUACUCUCCAAGGGUGAUGAGAGUUGUAACACGGGACAAAUCAUUUAUAGAAGCUCUUGCCAGAGUUAGACAAAUUGCUAGCACAUGAAAAGAAACUUUACUGAUGAAGUUAAGCUGCAAUUUAGUAGGUCCACACAUUUGUGUUUUGUUCUGAAUUUUGCAGCCGAAUAUUGUUUGAUAAGCUGCUUAGUUAACAAAAUUUGACUACCAAAGAAAGGUGGCCACUAUCAACAUGCUAAAAGAAAGGAUGAUGCCGGAAAAGAUAAACUUACCCCAAACGGAUCAAAGAAAUACAGUGAUAUUAAAGCUCCUACAAAAGCAGUUGUAUGCAGUUUUUGAUAUAAGCUCAACUUUUAUGUUUAACUCGUUUGCUUUUGUUUUGCGUUGCUGUUACUUUAUGUGUGCUCACAGCAAGUUCCUCAUGACUAUGCCUUUGAGAAGUGCAUAAGAGAAGAGCUUAUCCUUGCAAAUGAGAAAGGGGUGACUUAUUUGGGUGCCUUACCCUGCUCUAUUUUGUGAUAGUUAUUUUAAUGGUAUUCAUUUUAUUAGAGUAUAUAUGCUUUUGAUACAAUGUGUAUUAGUCAAGUAAUAUAAAAGUAUUUGUUUUUUCAUAGAAUUUGCAACUCAAACUCUUACAAUUGAUCUGUAUACUCUGAACUAUUAUCAUUGUGAUAUUUAUCGUUAUGGUUUAGAACUAUGUUGCAACACUAAGAUUAUAUGUAAUUUAAGAAGGAUAUGUAACAUAUGUUACAAUUAUGUAUACUUUAACUUCUGACAUUGAAAAAAUUUGAUAAAUUAGUUGUUUUGCAGGUAUGUAUUUGUUAUCUCUACAAGAGUUUAUGUCCGAAGCACAAUUUGGUGGAGUAAAAUUGAAAAUUAAGAGUAGACUUUUUUUUUUUUUGGUAAACUUUGAGAUUAUGAUAUUCAUGUUUUUUGCAUAGAAUAUAGUACUUAUAGGUUGUAGUUUUUAACUAUUUUGAAGUUUGACAUGGUUGUAAGACUUCGUGAUAAUUUUAAAUAUGAAUUAAGGUUCAUUUGAUUUUGUUUCAGCCAAGAAGAUAUUUUCUUGUGGAUGCUAUGGACUACAUACUAUCUAGAAUGUUAAGCUUAAAUUUGAUGCAAGUGUUAGUUGAACUUGAACCUACAAUUUAUUGGUGACUUCUUUCUCGGCAUAUUAAUACCGAUCUUGGUUCAGAUUGGAAUCAGGUGGCUGCAAUCAUUUUAAUUAUGGUAUUUGUGUGCUUAGAAGUAAGGAUUUGUUGAGCUGUUGUUAGAGGACAUCAUUCAAGACUGUUAAAGGAAAUCAUAUUUAGAGUGAGUGGGAUUUAAGCAUGGUUUCAUGAUAUGGCAUUUGUUUAGUAUAUGGAGUGGAACUCCAUUUGUACUUCUUCUCUGUUGUAUCAUUUGAUAUAGGUCGUGGGUUUUUUUUGUUAACAUAGUUGAAUCUUGAUUUAGGUGUAGUUUUGCAUAUUGUCAAUGCAGAGCAACUGAUGAUCAUAUAUUUGUAAUUUUGGAAACUCAAUAUUCCUUGUGUUUUGUGGUUGUCUUUCUUUUUAAAAAAUAAAAUAGAUUAUUAUCUAUUUAUUUA